CGGACACGCGUGGUGUGCGCGGUCCCCGUGCAGCCCGCCCUGCCGCAGGCUGCCCUCCACCCCCAGCCCCAGCUCCAGCCCCCAGCCCGUCCCCACUGCUCAUAUCCGAGCAGAUAGACCCCGGCCCCACCCUCCCGUGCUGAGCCUCCUUUCUGCCGGGAAGUUCGUCCGGGAGUCAAACAUCGCUGCCCUCCGGUUGCGCCACGGAGGGGGAGCCAGGAUAGGAAGCUGCCGUGAAAUCAGGAAGCUGAGCGCGCCGGGCCCCGGAUCCGAACAGAAAAGGCUUCCACCCGCUCCCCUGAGGGAUCCCACGCUGAGGGACUGAACCCCGCACCCCAGCCGCGCUCACCACCCCCACCCUCUCGCCUGGGCUGCUCUGACCUGGGGAUUCCAGAACUGCCACUCAAAGUGCCCUAUGAGGAGCUGUGGUAACAAGGAAAUGUUCUCAUGACUCAAAAAUCAGUGGAAAAAGGUACAGGAUGAGAAGCCUUGUUUCCCAACCCUAUCAACAGGGCUGUGCUGUUUCCCUCUACCACGAAUGCUCUUCUUAAAUACGGCUCACUUCAUCUCCUUCUGAUACCUGCUUAAAUCUCAUCUUCUCAAAAUGGCCUUGUCUGACCAACUUAUUAAAAUAGUAUCCCAACUACAAGUCACUGUUAUUUUUUUCCUAGUUGUCCGUCUUCCCCCCAAUAGAAUAUAAACUAUAAAAGGAAGAGGCCUUUGUUUUAUGCGCUGCUCUAUCUCCAGACCCUAGAACAGUAGCAGGCUCUCAUAAGAAUAUGCAGAACAAGAUGUUGCACAAAGACAACACAUAUAUAUAUGUCUCCAAUUAAAACUUUUGUCACGGAUAACAAAAAAAGCUAAGAAAACAGUUUGAAACCCUGCACGCUCUGCUACUUAGAAUGAAA
rnacentral:lncRNA from 1 species